rnacentral:rRNA from 1 species
UGGGGAAUCUUGGACAAUGGGGGCAACCCUGAUCCAGCCAUGCCGCGUGAGUGAUGAAGGCCUUAGGGUCGUAAAGCUCUUUCGCCUGUGAAGAUAAUGACGGUAGCAGGUAAAGAAACCCCGGCUAACUCCGUGCCAGCAGCCGCGGUAAUACGGAGGGGGUUAGCGUUGUUCGGAAUUACUGGGCGUAAAGCGCACGUAGGCGGACCAGAAAGUUGGGGGUGAAAUCCCGGGGGCUCAACCCCGGAACUGCCUCCAAAACUAUUGGUCUAGAGUUCGAGAGAGGUGAGUGGAAUUCCAAGUGUAGAGGUGAAAUUCGUAGAUAUUCGGAGGAACACCAGUGGCGAAGGCGGCUCACUGGCUCGAUACUGACGCUGAGGUGCGAAAGUGUGGGGAGCAAACAGGAUUAGAUACCCUGGUAGUCCACACCGUAAACGAU